UACGUAGGAUGCAAGCGUUGUUCGGAAUUACUGGGCGUAAAGAGUACGUAGGCGGUUUGGUAAGUCUGAUAUUAAAGACCGGAGCUCAACUUCGGGACUGCAUCGGAAACUGUCAGACUAGAGGACAAUAGAGGAAGUCGGAAUUCUCAGUGUAGCGGUGAAAUGCGUAGAUAUUGGGAAGAACACCAGUGGCGAAAGCGGACUUCUGGGUUGUUACUGACGCUGAGGUACGAAAGCGUGGGGAGCAAACGGG
rnacentral:rRNA from 1 species